rnacentral:tRNA from 1 species
GGUGGCUCAGUGGUAGAGCGCUUGCCUAGCAGGCAUGAGGCCCUGGGUUCGAUUCCUCAGCACCA